rnacentral:rRNA from 1 species
UACGAAGGGUGCAAACGUUGCUCGGAAUGAUUGGGCGUAAAGAGCUCGUAGGCGGUUUGUCGCGUCGAAUGUGAAAACCCGGGGCUCAACCCCGGGCCUGCAUUCGAUACGGGCAGACUAGAGUUCGGUAGGGGAGUCUGGAAUUCCUGGUGUAGCGGUGAAAUGCGCAGAUAUCAGGAGGAACACCGGUGGCGAAGGCGGGACUCUGGGCCGAUACUGACGCUGAGGAGCGAAAGCGUGGGGAGCAAACAGG